GGCUUGCUUCUUAGUUAGUGGCGCACGGGUGAGUAAUAUAUAGCUAACCUGCCCUUUAGUGGGGGACAACAGUUGGAAACGGCUGCUAAUACCCUAUACUCCUUCUUGCCUUAAGGUGAGUCGGGAAAGAUUUAUCGCUAAAGGAUGGGGCUUUAUUGUAUCAGCUAGUUGGUGAGGUAAUGGCUCACCAAGGCUAUGACGCAUACCUGGUCUGAGAGGAUGAUCAGGCACACUGGAACUGAGACACGGUCCAGACUCCUACGGGAGGCAGCAGUGGGGAAUAUUGCACAAUGGACGCAAGUCUGAUGCAGCAACGCCGCGUGGAGGAUGACGCAUUUCGGUGUGUAAACUCCUUUUAUAGGGGAAGAUAAUGACGGUACCCUAUGAAUAAGCACCGGCUAACUCCGUGCCAGCAGCCGCGGUAAUACGGAGGGUGCAAGCGUUACUCGGAAUCACUGGGCGUAAAGGAUGCGUAGGCUGGAAAUCAAGUCGAAAGUGAAAUCCAACGGCUCAACCGUUGAACUGCUUUCGAAACUGGUUACCUAGAAUAUGGGAGAGGUAGAUGGAA
rnacentral:rRNA from 2 species